rnacentral:rRNA from 1 species
CUGCGGUAAUUCCAGCUCUAAGAGUAUAUAUUAAUGUUGUUGCGGUUAAAACGUUCGUAGUUGUAAUAAAAUAUAUUUUGCAGUGGUCGUCGUCUUGGUUGUCCAAAGGUCUCUCCGGAGGCGUGCGGGCUUAGGUACUCCGGUGCCACCGAGUCGGCUUCGGUUUAGAUGUCUAGUUUCAGGCUUUGAUAAGCGGUGCUGGACUGAUGAGUGGCUGUUGUGAAGUAAAUUGUAAUGUGGUCGUGAGCAAAUCUGUGUGCUUAAAGCGCUCAAAUACAGGGAGACACAGUGUGUCUUUCACAAUCGAUUAUUUGCUAUAGCACGAUACCAUCUAGAAGUCGAUUGCCAAUCUUUGAUUGGUGGUCUAUGCGAUAAAUGAGAUAUUGAUUCAAGUGUGCCAUACCGGCGGGAUAGAGGUGAAAUUCAAUGACCCUGUCGUGAUGACCAAAGGCGAGAGCAGCACACAAGGGACGUAUCUGUCGAUGAGGGACUAAAGUUAGAGGAUCGAAGAUGAUUAGAUACCGUCGUAGUCCUAACCAUAAACUAUAUCAACUGGGAAUUCCAGUAACACCUUUCCCAAGAUUAUUGGAGGACCCGCGGAAAACCAAGUGUUUGGAUUCCGGGGGUAGUAUUAUCGCAAGCUUGAAACUUAAAAGAAUUGACGGAAAAGCACCACCAUGGUGUGGAUUUUGCGGUUUAAUUUGACCCAACACAGGAAAACUUACCAAGUUCGGACAUAAGUAUGAUUGACAGGUUAAUGACCUUUCUUGAUUUUGUGAUAUGUGGUGCAUGGCCAUUCUUAGUUCGUGGAGUGAUUUGUCUUGUUAAUUCAGAUAACGAACGAGACCUUUACCUAUUAAUUAUGUGGCAGUAGUGAAAUAAAUAAAUCUAGUUUGAAAAUAAAAUAUUACCGAGCAGCGGAGGUCUAGGCAACCCCUAGGUCUGACAAAGCUCACUUACUUCUUAAAGGGACUUCGUCCAUUCAAACUAGGUCGCGGAAGUCGGAGGCUAUAAUAGGUCUGUAUGCCCUUAGAUAUCUUGGGUAACACGCGCAAUACAAUGUUAGUAGCAAUAAGUUAAAUUAAGAGCACUUGAUGCUCAAUAAAACCUUUUUUGAGAGGAAUAGGAAAGCUAAGCAACUGCUUACUUGACAAGAAUUGUACUUUGUAAAUAGUACAUGAAUGAGGAAUACCUAGUAUACGCAAAUCAUCAUUUUGCAUAGAUUGCGUCCCUGCUUUUUGUACACACCGCCCGUCGCUUCAAUCGACACGGUCGGAAUUAUAAAGCUGAUAGACAGUAUGAGAGAAAUUGAAUGUUGUAAGUUGAAUGAAUUGUUUUGAUUUUAGAAUGAAGAAGUCGUAACAAGGUAUUCGUAGGUGAACCUGCAGAAGGAUC